GGUUGGUCCGAGAGUAGUGGUGUUUA
rnacentral:piRNA from 2 species